CCUACGGGAGGCAGCAGUAAGGAAUAUUGGUCAAUGGACGAAAGUCUGAACCAGCCAUGCCGCGUGAAGGAUGAAGGCCCUCUGGGUUGUAAACUUCUUUUAUCUGGGACGAAAAAAGCUCAUUCUUGAGCACUUGACGGUACCAGAGGAAUAAGCACCGGCUAACUCCGUGCCAGCAGCCGCGGUAAUACGGAGGGUGCAAGCGUUAUCCGGAUUCACUGGGUUUAAAGGGUGCGUAGGUGGGUCUGUAAGUCAGUGGUGAAAUCUCCGAGCUUAACUCGGAAACUGCCAUUGAUACUAUAGGUCUUGAAUCAUCUGGAGGUAAGCGGAAUAUGUCAUGUAGCGGUGAAAUGCUUAGAUAUGACGUAGAACACCAAUUGCGAAGGCAGCUUACUACGGGUGCAUUGACACUGAGGCACGAAAGCGUGGGGAUCAAACAGGAUUAGAUACCCUGGUAGUCCACGCCCUAAACGAUGGAUACUCGACAUCAGCGAUACACUGUUGGUGUCUGAGCGAAAGCAUUAAGUAUCCCACCUGGAAGUACGACCGCAAGGUUGAAACGUCAAAUGAAUUGACGGCGUAGAGACGCGACGAGGACACGAGGAGGGGAGAGG
rnacentral:rRNA from 1 species